ensembl:lncRNA
CGAGAAGGUAUGCAUGAUGGAUGCCAGACUAUCUAAGCCGGCUCUUUUGGACGCAAAGAAACAGCAGCGUGGGCUCCCUCGUCUAUUUCUAAGGCUGAGCUCAGUCACCCUACGCAGAGAAGUCAUUUUGGGUUUCUUCUCAGAGCUCAGGACCACAGGAUGAGCUGGAUGACGCUGCAGAGGUUUGGAAUACACCAUCAGGCCAUCAGAAAACAUCAAUAUCCCCAGUGGUCGGCUAACGUACCGUAUACAUUACCUGAGCUCAAAGGGACAAGAGACUUCCUUUGCCCCACUGAAGAAGAACAUGUUGAACUGUUUAAAAACGAGUAUGUUUUUCCACUGACCGAACCAUGUGAUCCAGAUGUAUAUGAACUGUGCAAUAUCCUUAUGAACCCCAUCUGACUCCACCAACAGACCCAUAUCAGGCUGUGAACUUGUACAUACAUGUAAGAGAGUCCAUCAUGGCAUCAGUGUAAAACACAUGCACUGCAGCAGAGAACAUUUCUCAAAAUUGACCUGUGCUAUAUGUGAGAAA